rnacentral:rRNA from 1 species
CCCUUAGAUGUCCGGGGCCGCACGCGCGCUACACUGAAUGAAUCAGCGAGUCUAUCCUGGGCCGAAAGGUCUGGGUAACCCGGUGAACCUCAUUCGUGAUUGGGAUAGGGACUUGCAAUUGUUUCCCUUGAACGAGGAAUUCCCAGUAAGCGCAAGUCAUCAACUUGUGUUGAUUACGUCCCUGCCCUUUGUACACACCGCCCGUCGCUCCUACCGAUUGAGUGGUCCGGUGAGGCUUUGGGAUCUGAGCGGAAAGAGCGUUUCGCUGUUUCUGCUCGGAAAACUCAGUCGAACCUUAUCAUUUAGAGGAAGGAGAAGUCGUAACA